rnacentral:rRNA from 1 species
UGGAAACUGUCUGACUNGAGUGCAGAAGGGGAGAGUGGAAUUCCAUGUGUAGCGGUGAAAUGCGUAGAUAUAUGGAGGANCACCAGUGGCGAAAGCGGCUCUCUGGUCUGUCACUGACGCUGAGGCUCGAAAGCGUGGGUAGCGAACAGGAUUAGAUACCCUGGUAGUNCACGCCGUAAACGAUGAGUGCUAGGUGUUAGGCCCUUUCCGGGGCUUAGUGCCGGAGCUAACGCAAUAAGCACUCCGCCUGGGGAGUACGACCGCAAGGUUGAAACUCAAAGGAAUUGACGGGGGCCCGCACAAGCGGUGGAGCAUGCGGUUUAAUUCGAAGCAACGCGAAGAACCUUACCAGGUCUUGACAUCCCGAUGCUAUUCUUAGAGAUAGGAAGUUACUUCGGUACAUCGGAGACAGGUGGUGCAUGGUUGUCGUCAGCUCGUGUCGUGAGAUGUUGGGUUAAGUCCCGCAACGAGCGCAACCCUUAUUGUUAGUUGCCAUCAUUAAGUUGGGCACUCUAGCGAGACUGCCGGUAAUAAACCGGAGGAAGGUGGGGAUGACGUCAAAUCAUCAUGCCCCUUAUGACCUGGGCUACACACGUGCUACAAUGGUCGGUACAACGAGUUGCGAGCCGGUGACGGCAAGCUAAUCUCUGAAAGCCGAUCUCAGUUCGGAUUGGAGGCUGCAACUCGCCUCCAUGAAGUCGGAAUCGCUAGUAAUCGCGGAUCAGCACGCCGCGGUGAAUACGUUCCCGGGCCUUGUACACACCGCCCGUCACACCACGAGAGUUUGUAACACCCGAAGUCGGUGAGGUAACCUUUUAGGGGCCAGCCGC